GACGAACGCUGGCGGCGUGCUUAACACAUGCAAGUCGAACGGAAAGGCCCUGCUUUUGUGGGGUGCUCGAGUGGCGAACGGGUGAGUAACACGUGAGUAACCUGCCCUUGACUUUGGGAUAACUUCAGGAAACUGGGGCUAAUACCGGAUAGGAGCUCCUGCUGCAUGGUGGGGGUUGGAAAGUUUCGGCGGUUGGGGAUGGACUCGCGGCUUAUCAGCUUGUUGGUGGGGUAGUGGCUUACCAAGGCUUUGACGGGUAGCCGGCCUGAGAGGGUGACCGGCACUGUUGGCGAGGGAGACCGGACAGGAUCCCGGGGCGGGCCACAUUGGGUAAAUGAUGCAGACCAGCCGGCGCCUGAAUCAAGCACGGCGGGUGGCGGAAGAAUGGCCGUCGUCUUGUCAGCCCUCUUCGCCGGGGAGGAAGCGUGAGUUCCGUUAAUGAACAACGAACCCCCGGCAAGCUACUUGACAGACGCCGCUGUAUAAAAACGCACACCCCACCUCCAAC
rnacentral:rRNA from 1 species